GGAGACAACAGGAAUUCGGAAAGCAGGAAAUGAGACAACAGGAAUUCGGUAAGCAGGAAAUGAGACAACAGGAACUCGGAAAGCAGGAAAUGAGACAACAGGAAUUCGGAAAGCAGGAAAGGAGACAACAGGAAUUCGGAAAGCAGGAAAUGAGACAAUAGGAAUUCAGUAAGCAGGAAAUGAGACAACAGGAAUUCGGAAAGCAGGAAAUGAGACAACAGGAAUUCGGAAAGCAGGAAAUGAGACAACAGGAAUUCGGAAAGCAGGAAAGGAGACAACAGGAAUUCGGAAAGCAGGAAAUGAGACAACAGGAAUUCAGUAAGCAGGAAAUGAGACAACAGGAAUUCGGAAAGCAGGAAAGGAGACAACAGGAAUUCGGAAAGCAGGAAAUGAGACAACAGGAAUUCAGUAAGCAGGAAAUGAGACAACAGGAAUUCGGAAAGCAGGAAAGGAGACAACAGGAAUUCGGAAAGCAGGAAAUGAGACAACAGGAAUUCGGAAAGCAGGAAAGGAGACAACAGGAAUUCGGAAAGCAGGAAAUGAGACAACAGGAAUUCGGUAAGCAGGAAAGGAGACAACAGGAAUUCGGAAAGCAGGAAAGGAGACAACAGGAAUUCGGAAAGCAGGAAAUGAGACAACAGGAAUUCGGAAAGCAGGAAAUGAGACAACAGGAAUUCAGAAAUCAGGAAAUGAGACAACAGAAAGCAAGAACCACAUCAUUCCUUUGUUAUGGGAAAAAAAGGAAGAGGAUUAUUUUGGAUUAUAUAUACUAAUUAUUUUGAGGUUUCAAAUGUGUUUUUAUUUGUAAUAGUUCAGCACAUCUGGUCAAAGAAGGCUGUUGGUAGAGUAGAAGCUGUAGUGGGUCCAUACAAAAUGUACAACUCUUCCUUGCAAACUUUGCAAGGGAUUAACUGGCUAUCAGAUGAGAUGGCUAUCCCAGAUAAUGAUGUCUGGUUGUGUCCAUUCAACACCGGAUUCUUGUGAUUCUCAAGUUGUCCAAGAAGGUGAACAUGAUUGUAGAUCCACAAGGCAAAGCAGAUGCUUACAAAAGGAAAAUACAUAGAGACUGGAGGACAUAGCUCGGAUUUUAAAAAAUAAUUUAAAACAUACUACUUUUGAUCAAUUUAAGAGUGCACCAAGUAAUUUCAUGGUUGUUUUACUGGCCAGUACAGUGAAAAUAUUACUUAGCACACCUUUAAGAAAACAAAUCACUGGGGCCUGGGUAGCUCAGUGAGUAAAGACGCUGACUGCCACACCUGGAGUCACGAGUUCGAAUCAGGGUGUGCUGAGUGACUCCAGCCAGGUCUCCUAAGCAACCAAAUUGGCCCGGUUGCUAGGGAGGGUAGAAUCACAUGGGGUAACCUCCUUGUGGUCGCUAUAAUGUGGUUCUCGCUCUCGGUGGGGCGCGUGGUGAGUUGUGCGUGGAUGCCGUGGAGAAUAGCGUGAAGCCUCCACACGUGCUAUGUCUCCGUGGUAACACGCUCAACAAGCCACGUGAUAAGAUGCACGGAUUGACUGUCUCAGACGUGGAGGCAACUGAGAUUCGUCCUCUGCCACGAGUACUUAGAGAGCACUGGGAAUGGGGCAUUCCAAAUUGGGGAGAAAAGGGAAGAAAAGAAAAAAAAACAACAACAACAAAUCACUGUCACUAAUGUAGUAAAUUAAUCAUGGCUGACAGUGAAUAGAGCAGUACUACAGUGACACUGGUAACCAACCAAAACCCUUUUUGUGUGACGCUCCAUCCACACUUUGUAAGGGAUAAUGUACAGGCAGCAGGUUGUUAUCGCAUAAUAAACCCCGACGGAUAAUAACCUGCUGUCUGUACAUAAUCCGCUUAUUACAUGGCUACUAACCAAAUAAAUAAAUACAUGGACAUAAAAUAUUGAUUUGCACUGAAAUUAUGCAAGAAGAAAUAAAUUGCUUAACAGCUUACAGUAUAUCC